UCAGUUGGUUAGAGUGUGAUGCUAAUAACGUCAAAGUCGAGGGUUCGACCCCCUCUGGAACCA
rfam:Penicillium freii strain DAOM 242723 scaffold_614, whole genome shotgun sequence.